rnacentral:misc_RNA from 1 species
AAAGAAUCGAUUAAUGGGGUUUAUCAUCUGGAAAUCUGAUAAUGAGCUUAAUGCUAUAGAUGUUAUGUGCAUUAUUUAUUUCAUUUAUUUGCACUAAACUAAUAGACCCCCAAAAGGACUGCCAAGCAUUGCCUGGUUUCAUAAAAGGAGUUGAUACAAAAAGAUGUUACCAUCAGAACCCAAUUCUGGAGAAGAGGAGAUAAAUAAAAGAGGAACCAAGCUGAAGUCUUGGAGAACCAUUUUGCAUAAGAGAGGAGGUG